GAUGAACGCUGGCGGCGUGCCUAAUACAUGCAAGUCGAGCGAACGGACGAGAAGCUUGCUUCUCUGAUGUUAGCGGCGGACGGGUGAGUAACACGUGGAUAACCUACCUAUAAGACUGGGAUAACUUCGGGAAACCGGAGCUAAUACCGGUUAAUAUUUUGAACCGCAUGGUUCAAAAGUGAAAGACGGUCUUGCUGUCACUUAUAGAUGGAUCCGCGCUGCAUUAGCUAGUUGGUAAGGUAACGGCUUACCAAGGCAACGAUGCAUAGCCGACCUGAGAGGGUGAUCGGCCACACUGGAACUGAGACACGGUCCAGACUCCUACGGGAGGCAGCAGUAGGGAAUCUUCCGCAAUGGGCGAAAGCCUGACGGAGCAACGCCGCGUGAGUGACGAAGGUCUUCGGAUCGUAAAACUCUGUUAUUAGGGAAGAACAUAUGUGUAAGUAACUGUGCACAUCUUGACGGUACCUAAUCAGAAAGCCACGGCUAACUACGUG
rnacentral:rRNA from 1 species